rnacentral:rRNA from 1 species
GUCUACGGCCAUCCCACCCUGAAGGCACCUGAUCUUGUCUGAUCUCAGAAGCUAAGCAGGGUCGGGCCUGGUUAGUAUUGGAUGGGAGACCGACUGGGACUACAGGGUGCUGUAGGCU